GUGUGUGUAUCACCAGUGUCCCCAAAGGUAUGUGUGUAUCACCAGAGUCCUCAAAGUGUAGCUAAAGCAGUGUGUGUGUAUCACCAAGGUCCCCAAAGGUGUGUGUGUAUCAACUGAGUCCCCAAAGGUAUGUGUGUAUCAACUGAGUCCCCAAAGUGUAGCUAAAGCAGUGUGUGUGUGUGUGUAUCAACAGAGUCCUCAAAUGUGUGUAUUUCCACUGUAGUCUAAACUAAAUUAAUUAUAGACACUCCUCUUUCAACUAAUCAUUUGUAUAAAGACUUUCACAGUAGUUGUUUUCACUGAGAAACGUGUGUUAUGGCGCAUGUAAGUAGGUAGUGUAUAUGAAUUUGAACUUCACAACCCUUGUUUUAUACAGUAUGGGUUUUAGUGUGAAUGGAUUUGAGGUGUACUAUAUUAACCAUCAUAUGACUUAUCAGUAGAGUUUCAUCACUUCUCAUAUCAUUGGAUAUUAAUGUGUCCAUUGAGCUUCAUAAACUCACUGUAAGGUCAUCCAUUUACUUCUCCCUUACUGUUUUUUUUAAAUUAGUUUGUAUGUAUUAUUCUGCUAACAUGCUGUCUGUCACAUACUAUUUAUGAGAGAAAUAUGUAAUUUCAUGAACAAUACUUGACACCAAAUGACCUUCUGACACCAGAUUGAGUUAUUUGUGAAGGAAAAAAUGUAAUUGUCUAUUUUCAGUGAUCUUAUUUACUUUAUCAUAUGUCUCUCUGCACUAACAUUAUUAUAAUUAUUAAUAAUAUUAUAUUAGAAAUAUUCAGAUAACUGAGUCCUUAAAGUAUACUUUAACCUGAGUUUGUGUAUAACUGCGGUCCUCAAAGUGUGACUAUACCGGAGUUUGUGUACAUGUCCCCAAAGGUGAGUUAUAAAAUACUGUCCUCAUUUUGAAGGUAAUUUGUCAGGUCUUUAUAGAAGUAUUUUUUUGCAAAUAUCAACUGAUAUUCAUAAUAAGCACAUUUUUAGUAGUGCAGUCAUGUCUUUCUUUUGUCUCUAGACCCUUCAGAAAGGGUAGUCCCCAAAGGUAGGGUGUUGAGUCA